GUGUCAGCAGCCGCGGUAAUACGGAGGGGGCAAGCGUUGUCCGGAUUUACUGGGCGUAAAGAGCGCGUAGGUGGUCUGUUAAGUCGGCUGUGAAAUCGCUGGGCCUAACCCAGCUAGGUCAGUCGAUACUGGUGGACUCGAGUCCGGGAGAGGGAAGUGGAAUUGCUGGUGUAGCGGUGGAAUGCGUAGAUAUCAGCAAGAACACCGGUGGCGAAGGCGGCUUCCUGGACCGGUACUGACGCUGAGGCGCGAAAGCUAGGGGAGCGAACGGGAUUAGAUACCCCGGUAGUCCUAGCCGUAAACGAUGGUCACUAGGUGUUGGGGGUAUCGACCCCUCCAGUGCCGAAGCUAACGCAUUAAGUGACCCGCCUGGGGAGUACGGCCGCAAGGCUGAAACUCAAAUGAAUUGACGGGG
rnacentral:rRNA from 1 species